rnacentral:rRNA from 1 species
AUGGAGGUGGCGGACGGCCCGGAUGCCAUUUCCUGGCGCCUUGACCCCUCUGGCCGCUUUUCCACCAAGUCCCUAUACGCGGCUAUUGCCCCCUCGACAGCUCCGGAACCUUUUGGCCUUAUUUGGGACAUUCGUCUUCCACUCAAGAUCCGGAUCUUUCUGUGGCAGUGGAUCCGCGGCCGCCUCCCGUCUGGCGUGGAGGUCCUCAGGCGCCAUGGCCCGGGUGAUGGAAUGUGCCCCCCAUGUGCCACGGUUGAGGAUGCUAAUCACAUCUUCUUCUCGUGCUGCACGGCUCAGUUCCUUUGGUCGUGUUUCCGUGAAACGGUUGGUGGACAAUGGUGUAAUACCAACUUCCCUGACUUGCUCGCCGAAAUUCAGGCCUCCCCCCCUCGCGACAGGCAUAUUAGAUGGCUGUGCGUCGGGGUGCUGGCCUGGACCCUGUGGACGGUUCGCAAUAGGCUUGUGAUUCAGAAGGUGCCCCUUCGACGUGCGACUGACUCCAUCUUUAAAAUGUGUGGUUACUUGCAGCUCUGGCGGCCGCUUAGCCGCCCUCCGGAUCGGGACGCCAUCGACAGACUACUCUCCGACCUCCGUUCGUUGGCCUUCCGCCUGGCGCCUCCGCUCCCGCCGCCACCCCCGGAGCCCGAUUAG